GGUCCGAUGGUGUAGUUGGUUAUCACGUCUGUCUCACAUUACAAGCAGUGUUUGUAUGUGCACAGGAGGUCUCCAGUUCGAGCCUGGAUCGGACCA